rnacentral:rRNA from 1 species
AUUGAACGCUGGCGGCAGGCUUAACACAUGCAAGUCGAGCGAGCGGCGGACGGGUGAGUAAUGUCUGGGAAACUGCCUGAUGGAGGGGGAUAACUACUGGAAACGGUAGCUAAUACCUCAUACCAUCAGAUGUGCCCAGAUGGGUUUAGCUAGUCGGUGGGGUAAUGGCUCACCUAGGCGGCGAUCCCUCGCUGGUCUGAGAGGAUGACCAGCCACACUGGAACUGGGACACGGGCCAGGCUCCUACGGGAGGCAGCAGUGGGGAAUAUUGCACAAUUGGCGCAAGCCUGAUGCCGCCAUGCCGCGGGUGGGAAGAAGGCCUUCGGGUUGUAAAGCACUUUCAGCGAGGAGGCGUUACUCGCAGGAGAAGCACCGGCUAACUCCGUGCCAGCAGCCGCGGUAAUAC